rnacentral:rRNA from 1 species
GAUGAACGCUGGCGGCGUGCCUAAUACAUGCAAGUCGAGCGAACGGACGAGAAGCUUGCUUCUCUGAUGUUAGCGGCGGACGGGUGAGUAACACGUGGAUAACCUACCUAUAAGACUGGGAUAACUUCGGGAAACCGGAGCUAAUACCGGAUGAUAUUUUGAACCGCAUGGUUCAAAAGUGAAAGACGGUCUUGCUGUCACUUAUAGAUGGAUCCGCGCUGCAUUAGCUAGUUGGUAAGGUAACGGCUUACCAAGGCAACGAUGCAUAGCCGACCUGAGAGGGUGAUCGGCCACACUGGAACUGAGACACGGUCCAGACUCCUACGGGAGGCAGCAGUAGGGAAUCUUCCGCAAUGGGCGAAAGCCUGACGGAGCAACGCCGCUUGAGUUAUGAAGGUCUUCGGAUCGUAAAACUCUGUUAUUAGGGAAGAACAUAUGUGUAAGUAACUGUGCACAUCUUGACGGUACCUAAUCAGAAAGCCACGGCUAACUACGUG